UCUCGGUUCACUGCAACCUCUGCCUCCCGGGUUCAAGCAAUUCUCCUGCCUCAGCCUCCGGAGUAUCUGGGAUUACAGCUGGGAAGUUAGGCUCUGAGAAGAUGAAAUUACUUGUCAAAAUCUUCAUAACAGGUAAGUGUAAGAUCAGAUCUGCUGACUCCAAAAUCUCUCAAUGAACCACUGUACCCUCUAUCUUCAGGCUUAUGCACUCACACUCCUCUCUGCUCUUCUCUUUCCUCGGGACCCAACUGCUCACAGUAGGCAACGUGGCAGGAGGCAAAAGCCUGGGCCAGGAGAUAGGAGACCUGGGUUGCAGGCCUGGCUCCACCUUAGCAUUCACCUUUCCUCUUCACAUCUUGGUCUCCUUAUCUGUAAAGUGGGAAUUUCAAUUAGAGUUCUUUAGAAGCAAGAGAAACCAACUUGAGCUUACUGAAAAAAAAAAAAAAGGAAGGCAGUGGAAGAAUCUGGGGCUGCCGGUAGAACGGAAGGAGGAGCUAAACUAGGCCUUGGAUAGACCAGAAACCUCACUCCAGGGAUCCAGCAAUGGACGUUUGGGCUAGGUCCCUGUGGCAUCCCCAUGUCUAUGUGAGCCACUGUGCCUGGGAGAGGGACUCAUGCCCAGCUCAUAGGGAUUGCCUGAAUCAAGUGGGCUCUGGGUGGGGAGGCUCUCUGCAGGCUGCAAAGUAGAUGUGAUUCAAGGGAACAUCGUAUAUGGCUCUGUUCCUCCUGUCCCAGGAAAAUGUGUGAGCAAGGCCAGCCUCUGGCCCUGGCUUGCCACUGACUGACUGCCCAAGGUUACGUGUCCUUGGGCAAGUCACUUCUUCUUCUGGUCCAGAGUUGUCUACAGAAGGUAGAUGAUUAUCUGUAAGGCCAGUUUUUAGCUCACUAAGGUGUUAGCAACUGAUUCCAGGGAAUUUCAGACAUUCCUGGGAGCAGUUGUUCAACCUAAAAGAAUGAAUCAUGGAUGGUGGAAUUUUAGGCAUCCAUGAAGAUGAUGUUGGGUGGAGUUUUUGUGUGGUCACACCAAGUGGAAAAAUGUCCACUGCACGUAGGAGACCAAGUGGGGAGAGGGGCAGCCUGGGCACGGUACCCCUACUUCGCACCUCCAGGACCUCUGCCAUGAGAGGGCUACAGAGAUCCCGCUCAGGGGCAAGAGGUUGGCCACAUUUGAGAGCUGGGUCACUGGAAGGGCUCCAGGCAGAGGAAGAACAGCUGGCUGAUGGGAGACAUGGAGCCUCCUGACCACUCCUAUCCCCAUGCCUUUGUCAAACGGACACACAUAUUCAUGGCAGCCGGCUGAGGCACUGUGCAAAAAGGACAUCGGUUCUCCUGUCUGGGCCUCAGUUUCCACCUCUGUCAAAUGGGGUAAGGUUGCUCUAACCUCAUGGGGUCUUUCUAAAAAUCAAAUGGGACAAGACAUCCGAAAGAAAACCAAGGAAACUUAGGAUCUUGGUGCUGAAUAAGGACUAGAAUGUCAGUGUCAUGGAGCAGGUCUUCUCUCUGUCUUCUGCACUACUGUAUCCUCAGUGCAGCAUGGAGCCAGCUGCAUAGUAGGUGCUCAAAACAUUAUUUAUUGAGGCCAGGCACAGUGGCUCACACCUGUAUUCCCAGCACUUUGGGAGGCUGAGGCAGGCAGAUCACUUGAGGUCAGGAGUUCGAGACCAGCCUGGCCAACAUGGUGAAACCUGUCUCUACUAAAAAAAAAUUACAAAAAUUAGCCAGGUGCGGUGGCUCACGCCUGUAAUCCCAGCACUUCGGGAGGCCUAGGUGGGUGGAUCAUGAGAUCAGAAGUUCGAGAGCAGCCGGACCAACAUGGUGAAACCCCAUCUCUAAUAAAAAUACAAAAAUUAGCUGGGCAUGGUGGUGGGCGCCUGUAGUCCCAGCUACUCGGGAG
rnacentral:lncRNA from 10 species